CUGACCCCUCAGUUACAAAUGUCCAAUUUCUAAUGAUAUAGAGAAAAUUAACAUGGCCCCUUGUGCAAGGUUGACACAUAACUUCCUGGGUGUUCAAUGUUUUU
ensembl:snRNA U6 U6 spliceosomal RNA